rnacentral:rRNA from 1 species
CGGUUAAGCUAAUAAGAGCACACGGAGGAUGCCUAGGCGCCAGGAGCCGACGAAGGACGUGGCGAACAACGAAACUGCCUCGGGGAGCUGUAAGCAAGCUUUGAUCCGGGGGUGUCCGAAUGGGGAAACCCAACUGUGGUAAUUCGCAGUUACUCACAUCUGAAUACAUAGGGUGUGUAGAGGCAGACCAGGGGAACUGAAACAUCUAAGUACCCUGAGGAAGAGAAAACAAUAGUGAUUCCGUCAGUAGCGGCGAGCGAACGCGGAACAGCCUAAACCAGGGGGCUUGCCUCCUGGGGUUGUGGGACGUCUCACAUGGAGUUACAAAGGAAUAUGGUAGGCGAAGAGGUCUGGAAAGGCCCGCGAUAGAGGUAAAAGCCCUGUAGCCUAAACUGUGUUCUCUCCGAGACGGAUCCCGAGUAGUGCGGGGCACGUGAAACCCCGUAUGAAUCCGGCAGGACCAUCUGUCAAGGCUAAAUACUACCUGGCGACCGAUAGUGAAACAGUACCGUGAGGGAAAGGUGAAAAGCACCCCGGAAGGGGAGUGAAAUAGAACCUGAAACCGUGUGCUUACAAAAAGUCAGAGCCCGAUCUAUGGGUGAUGGCGUGCCUUUUGUAGAAUGAACCGGCGAGUUACGUUUAACAUGCAAGGUUAAGGUGAGAAGCCGGAGCCGCAGCGAAAGCGAGUCUGAAUAGGGCGAUUUAGUAUGUGGACGUAGACCCGAAACCGUGUGAUCUACCCCUGUCCAGGGUGAAGGUGCGGUAACACGCACUGGAGGCCCGAACCCACGUACGUUGAAAAGUGCGGGGAUGAGGUGGGGGUAGCGGAGAAAUUCCAAUCGAACUCGGAGAUAGCUGGUUCUCCCCGAAAUAGCUUUAGGGCUAGCCUCGGUGAAUGGAGUGAUGGAGGUAGAGCACUGAUUGGGUGCGGGGCCCGCAAGGGUUACCAAGCUCAGUCAAACUCCGAAUGCCAUUACCUUCUUGCCGGGAGUCAGACAGUGAGUGCUAAGAUCCAUUGUCAAAAGGGAAACAGCCCAGACCAUCAGCUAAGGUCCCCAAGUGUGUGUUAAGUGGGAAAGGAUGUGGAGUUGCACAGACAACCAGGAUGUUGGCUUAGAAGCAGCCACCAUUUAAAGAGUGCGUAAUAGCUCACUGGUCGAGUGACUCUGCGCCGAAAAUGUAACGGGGCUAAACACACCACCGAAGCUAUGGCUAGAUGCUUUGCAUCUGGGGUAGGGGAGCGUUGUAUGUGGGUUGAAGGUGUACCGUAAGGAGCGCUGGACAGCAUACAAGUGAGAAUGCCGGUAUGAGUAACGAAAAGAUCAGUGAGAAUCUGAUCCGCCGAAAGCCCAAGGUUUCCUGAGGAAGGCUCGUCCGCUCAGGGUAAGUCGGGACCUAAGGCGAGGCCGAUAGGCGUAGUCGAAGGACAACAGUUUGAAAUUACUGUACCACCGUAAUCCGCUAUGAGCGAUGGGGUGACGCAGGAGGGUAGUGACGCGGACUGAUGGAUGUCCGUCUAAGCAGUGAGGCUGGUGUGUAGGCAAAUCCGCACAUCGUAAGGCUGGGCUGUGAUGGGGAGCGAAAAUUAUAGUAGCGAAGGUCAUGAUCUCACACUGCCAAGAAAAGCCUCUAGCCAGGAGAAGGUGCCCGUACCGCAAACCGACACAGGUAGGCGAGAAGAGAAUUCUAAGGCGCGCGGAAGAACUCUCGUUAAGGAACUCGGCAAAAUGACCCCGUAACUUCGGGAGAAGGGGUGCCUCGGUAGGGUGAAUAGCCCGAGGGGGCCGCAGUGAAAAGGCCCAAGCGACUGUUUAGCAAAAACACAGGUCUGUGCGAAGCCGCAAGGCGAAGUAUACGGGCUGACGCCUGCCCGGUGCUGGAAGGUUAAGGGGAGUGGUUAGGGGUAACCCGAAGCUAUGAACCGAAGCCCCAGUAAACGGCGGCCGUAACUAUAACGGUCCUAAGGUAGCGAAAUUCCUUGUCAGGUAAAUUCUGACCCGCACGAAUGGCGUAACGACUUGGGCGCUGUCUCAACGAGAGAUCCGGUGAAAUUUUAAUACCUGUGAAGAUGCAGGUUACCCGCGACAAGACGGAAAGACCCCAUGGAGCUUUACUGCAGCUUGAUAUUGAAUUUGGGUACGAUCUGUACAGGAUAGGUGGGAGCCGUAGAAACAGGAGCGCAAGCUUCUGUGGAGGCGCCGUUGGGAUACCACCCUGAUCGUAUCUAGGUUCUAACCUGGUGCCCUUAACGGGUACGGGGACCGUGUCAGGCGGGCAGUUUGACUGGGGCGGUCGCCUCCUAAAGAGUAACGGAGGCGUUCAAAGGUUCCCUCAGAAUGGUUGGAAAUCAUUCGAAGAGUGCAAAGGCAUAAGGGAGCUUGACUGCGAGACCUACAAGUCGAGCAGGGACGAAAGUCGGACUUAGUGAUCCGGUGGUACCGCAUGGAAGGGCCAUCGCUCAACGGAUAAAAGCUACCCUGGGGAUAACAGGCUUAUCUCCCCCAAGAGUCCACAUCGACGGGGAGGUUUGGCACCUCGAUGUCGGCUCAUCGCAUCCUGGGGCUGAAGUAGGUCCCAAGGGUUGGGCUGUUCGCCCAUUAAAGCGGUACGCGAGCUGGGUUCAGAACGUCGUGAGACAGUUCGGUCCCUAUCUGUCGUGGGCGCAGGAAAUUUGAGAGGAGCUGUCCUUAGUACGAGAGGACCGGGAUGGACGUACCGCUGGUGCACCAGUUGUUCCGCCAGGAGCAUGGCUGGGUAGCUACGUACGGACGGGAUAAGCGCUGAAAGCAUCUAAGCGUGAAGCCCCCCUCAAGAUGAGAUUUCCCAAUUAGUAAGACCCCUUGAAGACGACGAGGUAGAUAGGUUGGAGGUGGAAGUGCAGCAAUGCAUGGAGCUGACCAAUACUAAUCGGUCGAGGGCUUAUCCAAU